GGAGAGGUCGCAUAGUUGGUCUAGUGCGCGCGACUGGAAAUCGCGUAGGCGGUAAAUCCCGCCUCGUGGGUUCGAAUCCCACCCUCUCCG
rnacentral:tRNA from 1 species